CGGAGGGUAGAUCCCCCUUCCAGCUUCAUUUAAGGGGUGAAACCCAAUUAGCACCAAAGCCAUCUGGGUGGAUGCAGGUGGGUUAAUUGCACAAAACAGAAUUACUGGAAGAGACUGAUUUUGCCGGCAAGUGACUUAAGUUUCCCUCUGUAGCUUUAGCAUUGGGAAAGGAAGGUUCCUCCCUCCUCCUUAGCUGGAGGGCGGAGAAAGGUUAUCAGUUGCUCCGGGAGGCUGGAGCACACUGUCAAUUUAGGGUGACUGGCAGAGGGGGCGCAGUAGGUGCUUGGGCUCCCAUCCUGGUGCUAUUACGAGUUGGUUUCCUUCACCCCCUCCUGGAAGGUUGGGCCUUUGCCUGAAUCUGUUGCUGCUGCUCCCCUUGCUACCGCUGACACUUGAAGCCGCCGCCUCUGCACAGCAGCCAGACGUCCGGUCCGGGACCUUCCUCACUGCCCGCAGAGGAUGCAGGGAAAACCGCCUGACAUCAUGAGAGCGGGACAAACGCUCACUUUGAAGGAUUCCUGGGCAGGACUUCAAGUGAAAUCAUAUGCCUGAGAAGAACUUGAUACCGGUCUAGAGAAAAUAACCAGUUCUGAGUUUGCCAAACCAUGGAAUGUGCAAAAUGCUCUACUUUUUUGCAAGAGGCCAACCGUCCUUUAAAAACUCCAUUAUGAAUAUGAGCCUCAGGACUGAAGGAGCGAGAAGCUUGUGCCCUUGUUGAGUAUGGGAAAAAAGUGCACAGAGUGUUUGCUCCUGAAGAUAUAAGCAAGAGGUAACUAAUCUGUUAAGUUUUUGCUGCUUGAGGACCUGAUGAGAGAGGAAGAUGCUGCCAAGCCCACUGAACACCAACCUGAGAUAAUAAUAAAGCUGUCGUUGACAAUAACAUGCCUGUAUCUGUCAGUUGCUAGUUUGAGUUUUUAGCAGCUUUACUUAUGCCAACUCCCUCCUAGGUGCCUCUGGAGUUAAACAAGCAAGUAUUUACCUCCAAUCCUGAGCUUUUAAAAAUAUAGACCAAACUCUUAAGGUUCUUAAAAUUUUCAAACAUAUUUAUUUAUUGCAGAAAAAUAAUAUACAAAGAUAUUUACAAAACAAUCAUAAAAAUAUGAAUGCAUUUAGACACCGGAUCUAUUUGCAUUUUACCAUGGGUCAUCAAUAAAUAAAUAGAAUGUUGUUUUUUUUUGUAUUUUAAGUUUUUUUCCCUCAGAGGAAGAAUGAAAAAGGGAGUUAACUGAUUAUGAUUUUGCAAGUCAGUUUAAUCCCAGUAUUAUUCUUUUUUAUUUCUAAAGAUGUUCUUAGAAUCCCUCUGAUUUAUACCAUUUUAAAAUGGAGAAAAGUCCAUAAUGAUGCCUUUCCUUUCAGUGGCUGAUUGGCACGACCUCUUGAGAAUGCAUGCACGAAAAAAAAAACAAAAAACAUUCUUCGUCAAAAAACAAAAGAAAAAAGAAAGACAAACAA